CAGGUGCAAUUGGACUGGAUUGUGCAGACAUUGGGAUCUCAAUGACAAAUAAGUCUACUUCCACAGCACCAACAGUGUCUCAUAGUGAUGUUAAUCAAGCUGGCUCGGAGCUGCUAAAAAAUUGUAAUUGGGUGAUACUGUUGGUAUUGUUGCUGGCUACGAUUGCUUGAUUUGUACAGAUGAAGCUGAUGCUCAGAGUUUCAAGUUCCACGAUCCAAGUAGCAAAUAGAAAUUCUAGCAUCAAGCAGCAGCAUUGCUUGUUGUCCUAUGGUUAGUAUAGUUAGAUUUUCAUCUCAUAUCAAUAAGUCUGACAUACAGUUUAGGAGGAAUUAAUUCUUGUAGCUAGUGCUUGCAUAUGAUAUUGGAGUUUUUUUUAUGGAGUUCAGUUAUGGUUGAUGGCAGUCAUUUGCAGGUUGUACAGAAAACUAUUUACAUGAUUGUAUUAUUUCUUGUUAUCCAUUUAUGAGAUUCUGGCUCGGUGUUUGUCCGUGUAA